GAAUUGUUUGUUGAUCAGGAUGAAGCUUGGAUGAAACUAAGCAGAGGUCCGAACCGACUGAUGUUGAAGAAUCAGCGGAUGAGUUGUGGUUAGGGGUGAAAUGCCACUCGA
rnacentral:ncRNA from 1 species